rnacentral:rRNA from 1 species
UUUGACCUCAAAUCAGGUAGGACUACCCGCUGAACUUAAGCAUAUCAAUAAGCGGAGGAAAAGAAACUAACAAGGAUUCCCCUAGUAACGGCGAGUGAAGAGGGAAAAGCUCAAAUUUGAAAUCUGGCGGUCUUAAGGCUGUCCGAGUUGUAAUCUAGAGAAGUGUUUUCCGUGCUGGACCGUGUACAAGUCCUUUGGAAUAAGGCGUCAUAGAGGGUGAGAAUCCCGUCUACGACACGGACUGCCAGUGCUCUGUGAUACACUCUCAACGAGUCGAGUUGUUUGGGAAUGCAGCUCAAAAUGGGUGGUAAAUUCCAUCUAAAGCUAAAUACAGGCGAAAGACCGAUAGCGAACAAGUACCGUGAGGGAAAGAUGAAAAGCACUUUGGAAAGAGAGUUAAACAGUACGUGAAAUUGUUGAAAGGGAAACGCUUGAAGUCAGUCGCGUCUUCAGAAAUUCAGCCUGGCUUCUGCUUGGUGUACUUUUCUGUUGGACGGGCCAGCAUCAGUUUCGGCCGCCAGAAAAAGGUGGGAGGAAGGUGGCACCUCCGGGUGUGUUAUAGCCUCUCAUUGUAUGUGGCGGCUGGGACUGAGGACCGCAGCACGCCUUUAAUGGCCGGGGUUCGCCCACGUAACGUGCUUAGGAUGCUGGCGUAAUGGCUUUAAGCGACCCGUCUUGAAACACGGACCAAGGAGUCUAACAUGCCUGCGAGUAUUUGGGUGGUAAACCCAUGUGCGGAAUGAAAGUGAAUCAGUUGGGACUUCUGUCAUGGAAGGCACCGACGCCCGGACCAGACCUAUUGUGACGGAUCCGAGGUAGAGCAUGUAUGUUGGGACCCGAAAGAUGGUGAACUAUGCCUGAGUAGGGUGAAGCCAGAGGAAACUCUGGUGGAGGCUCGUAGCGAUUCUGACGUGCAAAUCGAUCGUCGAACUUGGGUAUAGGGGCGAAAGACUAAUCGAAC